AAAAGGCGGCGUAAGCUGUCGCUAAAGGAUGGACCCGCGGUGCAUUAGCUAGUUGGUAAGGUAACGGCUUACCAAGGCGACGAUGCAUAGCCGAGUUGAGAGACUGAUCGGCCACAUUGGGACUGAGACACGGCCCAAACUCCUACGGGAGGCAGCAGUAGGGAAUCUUCCACAAUGGGCGAAAGCCUGAUGGAGCAACGCCGCGUGAGUGAAGAAGGUUUUCGGAUCGUAAAGCUCUGUUGUUGGUGAAGAAGGAUAGAGGUAGUAACUGGCCCCUAUUUGACGGUAAUCAACCAGAAAGUCACGGCUAACCACGUGCCAGCAGCCGCGGUAAUACGUAGGUGGCAAGCGUUGUCCGGAUUUAUUGGGCGUAAAGCGAGCGCAGGCGGAAAGAUAAGUCUGAUGUGAAAGCCCCCGGCUUAACCGAGGAAUUGCAUCGGAAACUGUGUUUCUUGAGUGCAGAAGAGGAGAGUGGAACUCCAUGUGUAGCGGUGGAAUGCGUAGAUAUAUGGAAGAACACCAGUGGCGAAGGCGGCUCUCUGGUCUGUAACUGACGCUGAGGCUCGAAAGCAUGGGUAGCGAACAGGAUUAGAUACCCUGGUAGUCCAUGCCGUAAACGAUGAGUGCUAAGUGUUGGGAGGUUUCCGCCUCUCA
rnacentral:rRNA from 1 species